AGAGGGGCGCAUGCCUUCCUGGGGUGAGGACGCUGCCAGGCUCCCAGCUCUGGAGUCACCGCCCCGUGCUAGGGGCAAGAGCCCCCAAGGACUGGGAUCAAUAUUGGAAACCUGUGCUUUAGUUCUUCCACCUCUGCUGCUGCUAUGCUGUGUGACCUCAGGACUGGGCCGACUGGGAGCACCAUGUGGAGAACAGAGACAAACUGGAGUGCCUUGGGGAGGAAGGAGGAGAGCACAGUCUCUGAGUCAGCCAUGAGGCAGAGCAAAUACAAGUGGUCAUGCAGGAAGAAGAGUGCUGGUUCUGCGGGGUCCUAAGAGGGAGAUGUACGGGGGGUGUGCUUUGUUCAAUAUGACAACACUACCAAUGGUUUAGUUCUUACUGCAUGAGCUUUACAUGUGGUGUAUCUUUCUGGCCUUGAAACUAUCCUGCAGGGUAAAACAACUGUCCCCCAUCAUAAGAAAUGAAGGUAACAGUGCAUGUUCUCCCCUCAGCCUGGGACAGCUUCACCAGGCAAAUUCCUGCUCAUUCUCCAGGCCAUCUCCCCAGAGAAGUCCUUCCUCAACCUCAAGAACACAUCGAGUUCUCUGUCUUCUGUUCCCACAGGACCCUGCAGUCACCCCUCCUAGCUCUUGCUGUAACAGUAGACACAUGAUUUCGGUGUAAAUAUGGACAGGACAGGAGGCAGGGCUGGACACUGCUACAUGCCCCAGAACAGUGCCUGUCCUAUGAUAUCCAAGGAAUAAUUAUCUA
rnacentral:lncRNA from 10 species